GGGACCAACUUCCUUCCUCUUCAGCUCAUGCCUCUUGGAACACAUGGGGCAGCUGUGUGCACCUCAGAUGGAGCAGCCGAAAAGAGCUCAGAGCUUUGGUCCUGACUUUGCAGCCCAAGUGAGAUCAUGGGUUUUGUACUCCAGGCACUGUGCUAGGCACCAGGACUAUAAUACAACUUGUGAUCUAUAGAGGAGUCAGACAAUUACCCAGGCAUCCCAAAGAAAUGUCAAUUGCAAGAGCUGGCCUGAAGAACUUCUUGGGAAUAAAGACUCCAAAGAGAAGCUGAGUGUUGCUUUGGGACUGCCUGGCUGGAACUUCCCUGUUUUACUUUGAUAUUAUGAAAAACUGAGGAAGAUGAAAUGAUUUUGCUAUUGUCAUACAUCCAGUUUCUGGAAGAACACAGAUUAGAACUUGACCCUUUGGUGUAAUGCCGUUUCCUCUAUACAACAUUCCAAAGCUAAUUGAGAAGGAGUGUGCCUGUGAAGGAAUUCAGCUAAUGGGGUGAACAAACAAUUUCACAUGCGUUUAUAAACUGUGGGAAGUCUACCUCUAACCUGUGUAGAAAGAUUUCUGGUUCCAAUAAGGAUGUUGCCCUCUUCUCUCAAAUUAAUCCUGGAGAAAAGAAAAAAAAUAAACAGAAGUGAAACAUGAAUUCUAACAAUGAAUAAAACCAACCAACAGACUUUGGGAACACCCUGAGGGUACAGAAGACUAUUUGCACUUGCGUGUGUCAGUUUCAGCCAGGGGAAGAAGGUGGCCCAAGGUGGCAGUGGAGCUUUUUGGAUUCUGCUCUUGUCCUUCUCUGGCUUUACUUCAAGACAGCCAUCACUCGCCUCUUCACUGCAGAGGUGACCCAGGAUCACAGAGAGGCUGCAUAAAUAUUGCUGAGGGAGGAGUUAAUGAAAACAAGGGCUUCUGGACCCAUUUGCCUUACCCCUACCCUUCAGACCCACAGGGCUCAUGGAUUAAAAUCUAGGGAGGCUACCUUCUCAUAAUGCAUCUUCUCCUUAAGGUUUAAGGUCAAGACCUGAGCAAUAGAGUUACAUGAUGGGUUCCUACAAAUCAGGGUAAUUCACAGUGGUUUGGUGAUGUCUGGGAUUUCCACAUGGAGGCUCAUUCUCUCUUUAUUAACUCACUUAAACUGGGCAGGGUAGCUGGUAUCCUCACGGGAAGACUUCUGGGCUAAAAUGACCAGACAUCUAAGGGGUACAUGCAUUCUCUGAAAUGGAAAUAUUAGAAGUGGACUAAGAAUUUAAAAUAAAUAUGAUAGAAACACUUAAGCUGAUAAGGGAAAAUACUAGCAAUGUAAGACAAAGCAAUGACAACAAGUGGAAUAAUAAAGUAUGGCUUAAAAGGAAGAAAAAUAUAUAGGAGGACAGAUAUAACUGAAAAAAUAAAUUAAUGCAGUAGAACAGUUAAUUGAGAAAUUCUUCCAGAAGGCAGCAAGAAUGUAUAUAAAAAAGAAAAUAAAUAGAGAAAUUAAAAAAGCUAACAGGCAUGGUGGAUAAAAGUGCCAAUAUCUAGUAUUAGAACACUCAGAAGGAAAGUGGAGAUAUAUGGAAGGAAAUAAUCUGGAGAAAGAAUAGAGGUAAUUACUCCUACUUAAAAAAAAGACAGAAGACUUCAGUUUGAAAGGGCUAAUGAAUUGUCAAACAUAAAAGAAAAGGAAAAUUCACCCUACACAUUAUGAUAAUAUCUAAGAACAUCAAGUACAAAGAAAAAGUUCUACAAGUUGCCAGAAAGUGAAGAUUACGUAAAAUAAACAAGAAUGAGAUUGGUAUCAGAUUCCUUAACAGCAACACGGUGUGAGAAGCCAGUGAAGCAGUACUUUUAAAAUACUGAAAGAAAAUAACAUUGAACAUAAAGCUUUACAUCUAAUAAAAUUGCCAUUUGAUUUUGAAGGGUAAUAAAAAUAUUCCCAGGU